AGAAACCAUUGGUAAUUUUAAAGUAUCAAUAUAAGAUAAAGCAAAUAAAUAGAAAUGUAGCCAAUCAUGUGGGAAUUUCCAUAUCAUUACAGAAUUUAAAUUAAGCAGUAAUUCCUUAAGUCAAGGGAAACAAUUUGAGUAUGUAAUACUUUAAAUACCAUGGUAAUGAUUAAUGGAAAAAUAAAAGGACAAAAUGAAAAGUAUUAGAAAAUACAGAGAAAGAAAUGUAUGAUACUAAUGCAAACAUGUUCUUAAAAGAAAAACACAAAACUCAAAAGGCAUAAAACAGAACAUUAUUGUAUUUCAAUACACAACUUUUGUACAACCAAAAAAUAAAACACCACAGUAAAAUGAUGCCGAAAAGAAAACAUGGUAUUUCACUUGCAAUGCAUGACAUAUGGUUAACAUCUUUAGUUAUAAAUGAGCUUUUAGAAAUGAGCAACAAAGACACUCAUACUCCAAGGGAAAUGGAAAAAAACAAAAAGCAGAGGAAAAUGAAAUAACACAAAUGACUAGUAAGGAUUAAGGAUAUACGAAGAUGAUGGAGACAAACAAGAGAAGAAAAAAAGCAAUUUCUUCGUAAUAUCGCAUUGUUAACGAUUAAAACACUGACAUCUAACAUGUGUACCAUUUUACGAAACAGAACUCUCAUGAACAAACACUGGGAGACAAUAGUGAUGAGGACUCUCUCUCUAUGAUUAGGGGGAAAGCUGUAGUUUUGACUCAAAACAUAAAUUUUUGGACAUCCCUAGUCCUAGCAGUUCCAAUUCUCUGAAAUUAUCAAAAUAAUUUAUCUGUAUGCCUUUUUACGGCAUAGAAAAUUUAUAGACAUAAUAUGGGCCAAAAAGAGAGUUGCAUUAUCAAUCUGUUUAUCAACACACCCCAAAAAGAUGUGCACAAAACUACACUGACAGUAGAUAACGCUGGAGAAUAGAAUUAUGAGGGGAAAAGGGCAUGAGUUAAAAAUACCAUACUUCACAAAUUUCUAUACCUUUAAAAUCUUGAACAAGAUGAUUUUUUAUGAAAUAAUUUUAAGUUGAUCCUGUGAUAAGUGAAAAUUAUAAAUACAUGCACUUAAUACUUAUGGGAACACUGAAAUGAAGCCUUGCAAUUACACCAUCCUGAGAUUCUGUGUAAUAACGUCUCUGGCAUUCAAGCUCCUGAGAUUUAGUCCAAUGGCAACAAUGAAAACUGUCAACAGGCCUGGUUACAAUUCUCUCCAAUUACACUCUUUAGAUUACUUUAAAACAUGAGCUUUCUCAGUCCGGUUUUUCUGAUCUGCAAGGAGUGUCCACUGCAACACACGAAAGAGUCUCCAUACAUUAUGAAGACCAUCUUUUGGUUUGAUGAAGAUGGUGUCAGAAGAAAUGGCAUCAGUUUCCUAUUCAGUCAUCACCUGAGAGGACACAGUGGGAUCAUCAGUAGGAACUAAUAAAAUUUCUAUGUACAAGAAAUGCAACAGGCAUUCUAUGAAGAAAUAACAGGUGGAUCAAAAUUGCUGUUUGAAUUUUAUAAUAGUAAGAAGGCCAGAUACUGUUACUCUUUCUUCUUACACCUUGCUAAAUGGACAUACCUCCUCAUGUUGUCUGUGCCUCUUUUCAAUUACGCAUUUGGUUGCUUAUAUCACUAGAUCACUCUCGUUCAAACAGAAAAUUAUUUCACGCAAUCUACAUGCAUUUCUUCCUAUACAAGCAACAAGAGUGCCUUACCACCAUAGUGAAAAUAACAAAAGGAGAAAAAAUUAACUGCAUUAAAGCUUUGGAAGCUACAACGUAACUUAGAAAAAGAUUUAGCUCCUAACCCAGUAUUCUAGCUGGCUAUCAAAAUUGCUGGGUAGGUACUUCCUCAAAAGUCAUUAAUCUUCAAUUUAGCUAUGAUUUAUCCUAAGGAAAAAAACAUUUUCUGAUUAAAACCUUCACUUUCAAGGUUAUUCCACGGAUAACAGAUAGGCAAUAACACUCUCUGAGAAAGAAUGUUUAAGAAAUUUGUCAUCAUUCACUAUUGGCAGUACAUCCCAUGAAUUACCUUCCUAAAGGACACGAUGGGGAAUGAAGGAAAAAUGAGAAGCACAAAAAUCAUGGUGUGUCAGGAGCUAGCAUUCACUAUUUUUCUAUAAGAUCAUGGUUUCAUUAACAACUGCCCCUCUCACUCUUUUGACAGUUUCACAGCUUUAGUAGUUAUAUUACACAUUUCAGCAUCAGCGUAUUGCACCUGGUUCUUCUCUCUUUUGCAUUCCCCAAACUGACUUUAUCUCAAAAAUCUUGUAAUUUUUUUUCCUUUCUCCACCCCUUAUCUUUUGCCUAAUUUACUCCCAAAGUCAUAAAACAAGUCAGCAAGACUUUAUUCAAUUCCCACAGUGAAUAAGGUUUUUGUUCAAAACUAUCCACGAGAAAUUCAGUCUGUGUGAGAAGUGAUAUUCUGAAAAUCAAUUUAAUAAUUGAUUUAAUAAGGAUACAUGAUUUGAUGAGAACAUUGUGAAAGGACCCAAAAAUGUAAAAGAAAAUACUGAAGCUCCACAGCUCUUAACUACUAUGCCUUCUUUCAUCCAGUCCUACAUGUAGUCUGGGUCUCCAGUUACCUUGGCACUCUCUCACUAUAAGACGGAAUCUCUGCUGGAAUUUGGGCUGGUCAUAUGACACUGCUGGCCAACAGAAUAUGGCGGAAGUGAUGCUACAUGACUUCUGAAGCUAUCAGAAAGGCCACACCACUUUCACAAGGCUCUCUUCUAACACUCAUUCUUACGAUGCUUCCUCUGUGAACCUGGCUGUGUGAAAGUACUCUAGUUGAAAGCCUCCAGUAAGCCCAGCCUUCCACAUCACCACAAACCAAGUGCCAGAUAUGCGAAUGAAGUAGUAGAUGUCUGAAUCUCUCUCAACCACUGGGUCCUUCCCAGUUGAUCCUAUAUACAUUCUGGCACUGUCAGAAAUCUUCACCCACAGAAUCUACGGAAUUAACACAAUAUUUUAUGCCACUAAAUUUCAGGAUAAUUUUUUACUCAGCAAUACAUAACCUGAAAAGAUCU
rnacentral:lncRNA from 1 species